GCUUACCAUGCAGUCGAACGAUGAACCUCNGAGCUUGCUCUAGGGGAUUAGUGGCGAACGGGUGAGUAACACGUGAGUAACCUGCCCUUGACUCUGGGAUAACCUCCGGAAACGGAAGCUAAUACCGGAUAUGACGUACGGAGGCAUCUCCUGUACGUGGAAAGAAUUUCGGUCAAGGAUGGACUCGCGGCCUAUCAGGUAGUUGGUGAGGUAACGGCCCACCAAGCCUACGACGGGUAGCCGGCCUGAGAGGGUGACCGGCCACACUGGGACUGAGACACGGCCCAGACUCCUACGGGAGGCAGCAGUGGGGAAUAUUGCACAAUGGGCGCAAGCCUGAUGCAGCAACGCCGCGUGAGGGAUGACGGCCUUCGGGUUGUAAACCUCUUUUAGUAGGGAAGAAGCGAAAGUGACGGUACCUGCAGAAAAAGCACCGGCUAACUACGUGCCAGCAGCCGCGGUAAUACGUAGGGUGCGAGCGUUGUCCGGAAUUAUUGGGCGUAAAGAGCUCGUAGGCGGUCUGUCGCGUCUGCUGUGAAAACCCGAGGCUCAACCUCGGGCCUGCAGUGGGUACGGGCAGACUAGAGUGCGGUAGGGGAGAAUGGAAUUCCUGGUGUAGCGGUGGAAUGCGCAGAUAUCAGGAGGAACACCGAUGGCGAAGGCAGUUCUCUGGGCCGUAACUGACGCUGAGGAGCGAAAGCGUGGGGAGCGAACAGGAUUAGAUACCCUGGUAGUCCACGCCGUAAACGUUGGGCGCUAGAUGUGGGGACCAUUCCACGGUUUCCGUGUCGCAGCUAACGCAUUAAGCGCCCCGCCUGGGGAGUACGGCCGCAAGGCUAAAACUCAAAGGAAUUGACGGGGGCCCGCACAAGCGGCGGAGCAUGCGGAUUAAUUCGAUGCAACGCGAAGAACCUUACCAAGGCUUGACAUAUACGAGAACGGGCCAGAAAUGGUCAACUCUUUGGACACUCGUAAACAGGUGGUGCAUGGUUGUCGUCAGCUCGUGUCGUGAGAUGUUGGGUUAAGUCCCGCAACGAGCGCAACCCUCGUUCUAUGUUGCCAGCACGUAAUGGUGGGAACUCAUAGGAGACUGCCGGGGUCAACUCGGAGGAAGGUGGGGAUGACGUCAAAUCAUCAUGCCCCUUAUGUCUUGGGCUUCACGCAUGCUACAAUGGCCGGUACAAAGGGCUGCAAUACCGUAAGGUGGAGCGAAUCCCAAAAAGCCGGUCUCAGUUCGGAUUGAGGUCUGCAACUCGACCUCAUGAAGUCGGAGUCGCUAGUAAUCGCAGAUCAGCAACGCUGCGGUGAAUACGUUCCCGGGCCUUGUACACACCGCCCGUCAAGUCAUGAAAGUCGGUAACACCCGAAGCC
rnacentral:rRNA from 1 species